rnacentral:rRNA from 1 species
UUGAACGCUGGCGGCAUGCCUUACCCAUGCAAGUCGAACGGUAACAGGUUAAGCUGACGAGUGGCGAACGGGUGAGUAAUACAUCGGAACGUGCCCAGUAGUGGGGGAUAGCCCGGCGAAAGCCGGAUUAAUACCGCAUACGACCUAAGGGUGAAAGGGGGGGAUCGCAAGACCUCUCGCUAUUGGAGCGGCCGAUGUCAGAUUAGCUAGUUGGUGGGGUAAAAGCUCACCAAGGCGACGAUCUGUAGCUGGUCUGAGAGGACGACCAGCCACACUGGGACUGAGACACGGCCCAGACUCCUACGGGAGGCAGCAGUGGGGAAUUUUGGACAAUGGGCGCAAGCCUGAUCCAGCCAUGCCGCGUGCGGGAAGAAGGCCUUCGGGUUGUAAACCGCUUUUGUCAGGGAAGAAAUCCUUUGGGUUAAUACCUCGGGGGGAUGACGGUACCUGAAGAAUAAGCACCGGCUAACUACGUG